ensembl:miRNA
UUCCUUCCUCUCUCAGUCUCUGCCAGUCAUCCUCAGAAGCUGAGAAGGAGGUGGGCACC